UACACACUUAGGCGUGGUCGCCAUUCAUUUGAGGGUAGACCUCAGUAGGCUAUAUAAAUGCCCGAUUGCCACAGUGAAGCACUCUUUCCACCGUCCCGUACAGGACUGGCCGUCUGUAACCACGCUCCUGUAUCACAGCACAGACGCCGCAGGAGCCUCCAUCAAUACAGAAGUUUAUUCUGGGCCACGACAUUGCCAUAACACUCCGAGGAACAGAGGACUGCAUUACCUGUGCCUUAUAUUUGGAAAUACAGUACUUUAAUUUAUCUUUUUUUUUCGAAGUUUAAGACAUGAAGUUUGUAGUCCUGUUCGCCGCAGCAUUCGCGCUAUUCGGCUUGGCCAGCAGCGCCUCCAUUGACAGGUAUGAAAGCGAGAAGCCCGCUCAGAUUACGGUGAUAAACAUGUGGGGUCCCCACAGCGACAGGCGCGCCCAAAGCGUAUCGGACACGACUCAUUACGACCGUGACGAGGAAUACAACGAUGAUGAAGACGAGGACGCCUCGGGCUCGGAUGAAAUCGACCUACCCAGAGUUGCAAUGUCCAGUAAACCCAAGGACUCAUCUGCAGUGCUGGAGGCAGAGAGGGACGACCAGCCAAAUGGCAAGAGCAGGAAGGGGAGGAGGAAGGGCAAGGGCAAGAAGAGAGACCCCUGUCUUAAGAAGUUCAAGGCGUACUGUAUCCAUGGCACCUGUCAGUACGUGAAGGAGUUGCGCGCCCCGUCCUGUGUAUGCCUUCCAGGGUAUGCGGGAGAGCGCUGCCACACGUUAACCCUGAAAGUAAGGACGAAAGGAAAUUAUGACCAGACAACAGCCCUGGUCAUCAUGGCAGUGGUCCUGUCUUCACUAUGCUUGACUGUCAUCGCUAUUCUGCUGGCAAUUAAGUAUCACAAGAGAGGUGCAUAUGAUGUGGAAAACGAGGAGAAGAUCAAACUGGGGACGGCGCCACAGCACUGAACAGCGAGAGCAAAUGCCACGAAGAUGGAAGUUCUACCUCAAGAGAUAAUCGAGUGACGUGCCAAGUCAAGAAGGACCCAGAAUGGCAUAAUCAGGGUCUGCGUCCCGCGUAUGGGUAUGGGCCUUCAGAGACGGACUGACGAGUGGAUUGAUGGAAGGAUGGACAGACAGAUGUAGCAGGAAUGUCAGGGAUAUGAACAGAAGGCUACCAACUAAUCAGCACGGGCUGAGUGUAAGAUUAACACUCGCAGCACAAGGUGUAAUCGUUGGACUCCCAGAAAAGGACUCUGUGGAGUCUGCAAUGGAUAAAGAUGGAAAUAGGGUUGAACACGGUCUCAUGGCUGAGCUAAGAGUUUCUCCAUAAUGGUUAAGACAGAAAUGGCAUCCACUCAUAUUAACUAAAAAUCUUUCCAGUAUAAAACUAGUUUUUCUUUUUUACAUACAGAAUCAGCUUGUGCAUCUUGUUGUCAUUUAGUGUACAGCAAACCUUAUUUAUACAAUAAGUCUUUUAAUUUAUUUAUUUGUCCAUAGUGAUAUUUAUUCAGGUUUUAAAUCAGUUUUGUCAAUUGCACUGUCAAAGUUGUGUAAUGUCUGUGUUUUUAUAUUGUGAGUAUUUAUUGAAACAUGGGAAUAUGAGGUCAAUGAUUGCCUCCAAAGUAUUGACAGAAUAGAGAGAACGACUUCUGCUUGAGUUAUUUGUUACUUGGUUGGCCAGCAGGUGGAGUAGUGCUUAAGGACAUUGGCUUUUAACUUGAAAUAUUGCUGAGUAGCCUCUGAAUUUUUGUGUGCAUGUGUGUGUUGUAAACACACACUUGUGUGUGUGUGUGUGUGUGUGUGAGUGAGUGUGCAUGUACACACAUGUAUGUGUGCUCACACUUUCUUUAAAACCACUUUGAUUAACAGUAGCCGCCAAGCAACUAACAAGGAACCAGGCUACAUUACUGAUCAUACAGAUUUGGUUUUCCAAAAUCCUACUUAACCAUCUAAAGCAGGACUCUCCAGGACCGGAGUUGGAGACCCCUGAUCUAAAGGGAUUCUUACUAUUGGUUUAUAUCAGGGGUGUCAAACUCCAGUCCUGGGGGGCUGGAGCCCUACACAGUUUUUGGUUCACCCUCAUUUAACACACCUGAUUCAACUCCUUGUGCUAAUUUCCACACAGCUCUUGAGCUGAAUCAUUUGUGGUGGAACAGGGAAAGAACUAAGCUACACAGGGCUCCGGCCCUCCAGGACUGGAGUUUGAGACCCCUGGUUUAUAUCAUAUGAUUGUUGGGGAUUUGUCAUCUGGAGAACCAGACUGUAAGGUUCUUAGAGCUCCGUAAUUGUUACAUUGCAUGUGUAACUAGUUUUUAUUUUUUAUUUUUAAUGAAAUGGUUUCGUUUGAGUGCCAUAUUAUAUUAAUAGUACAAAGUGUCUACUGUCCGUUGAGGAAUUUUGUGUGAUCAAUGUUUAACUCAACUGUCUGACUCAUGAAAUGUGAAUACCGAUGUCAUACCUUGAAAACAAACUUUCAUAAGACAAGAUAGGAACUUUAAAAUGCCUUUCUUGUACCUGUAAGAAAAAUAAACAUUUUUUUCAUAAACGA